ensembl:lncRNA
GACGGCGCGGAGCGGCCGCCAUGAAGCCGGCGGUGGAUGAGAUGUUCCCGGAGGGAGCCGGCCCGUACGUGGACCUGGAUGAGGCAGGGGGAAGCACGGGGCUGCUGAUGGAUCUGGCGGCCAACGAGAAAGCGGUGCACGCCGACUUCUUCAACGGCUGAACAAGCCCAGUUCUCCCAGCCUGUAUGUAAGUGUUUACAGCUGCUUUGAGAGAGAGCAGCUACAUGUCAGGCCACGCAGGGGUACAAUAUACAACACUGCGCUGCACUUGGUUGCUAAAGGGGUUUUUAUGCUUCUGAGGAAAUGCAUUUAGACAUUGCAACGGUGAGUUUUAUAAGAUUUAUUAAAUCUUGCAAUGGCAGUGGUAAUAUCACAAACUGCUGUUAAUUCCAAAAUAAAGUACAUUGCUCAUUUUGCCCAAGACAUAGAACACAGGACUGAAAGGCAGUUCUGCUCUCAGCAGUUGUGGGGACACCCUGUUGGAGCCAGCGUAUUCAGGAGGAGUUGUUUCCCUCAGUUUCUAUCAUCACACUGUGGCAUUGUGUUCCAUUGGUAGUUUAGGGUUCUUCUAAAUGAGGAUUCAUCCUCAGUUCAUUGUAGGUGCUUGUAAAUUACCUUCUAUAAGAAUAAACACUGUGUUCAGUUAGGUGUUUAGUUUAUGAUCAGUGUACAAAGAAGAUGCAAGGCUGAGUAGUUAGGAGUAAUUCCAAAUGUGACUGGAACAAUUUCACUACUGGGAGAUGUGUUCUGAGACAGAAAUGUUAUUGACACCUUUAAAGCAAUUAAAUACUUUUGGGGAAGGAAUAUUUAACAGAAAUCUCAAAUUGUUAACCUGCAAAAUCAUCAUCCUGAUGCUACAUUUCUAAUAACUGAUGGUGCAGUUAUCUCUGAAUUCACCUUUAUUUCUGUCCUUAAUCCAAGGAACAAAUACUGUACUUGCAUGUGCAUUUGUAACACUGAAAUUCUGAGGUUGAUUUUUGUCUUGUUUUCCUGACUAGAUUUUGAAGAUCUCUUUGAUGACGAUGACAUCCAGUGAACUUAAUUGUGCAGCAGAGCUGAGAUGUGGAUUUCUCUCUAGGAUCGCCUUUGCAGUCCAUUAUUUAUUAAAUUAAUCAAAAUGGCAAAAUUACAGAGGGGGGAAUAAAGCCUGGAUAAGCUGCUUGGGGAAUAUGAAAACCAGAUGGUUAAAGGCAACUAAGUAGGGAAGUGUGCACUGUUAUUUCUAGGAAGCUGUGUGUAGAUUUUCCUGGAAAUUUCAUUGCUGAUGUGCUUGUUGAAUAAAAUACUGAAGAAACACUCAUCUCUCUGGCUUAUAAAAGUAGAAAUUGCUGUCUUCUGAGCUUCCUUAGAGUGAUUAUUUUGGUAUUAAAUAAUUCACUGUUGCUUUUGGAUAUUACAUAAAAGAUAUGCAGUAGGGCACAUGCUGCCUAGAAAGUUUUGUUCAUCCCACAGUAAAGGAUUGUCUCAGGAUCAGAUGGCUGCUUGUUCUGAAUAGUCCAACUCACUUGUUGGUCACACUGAGAACAGUGUGGGUUGUCUUUUGUUUCAAGACAGAACUACCACAGCACUUCACUUUUAAUUUAAGGAACACAGAAACAAAAAGGUACUUCACCUUAAUAUGUUAAGCAAAGGAAUGUUCUGACCCAAGAUUAGGGGAAUGCUUGGAUUUUUUAAAAUAUAAAUUUAAAUAUAAACUUAAAAAUACAAUUAUAUUCUUGAAAUUGCACUUGAUCGAUAAAGAAACCUAAAAUUAUUUUCUUUUCCAACAGAAGCUAAUGCACUUACUGGUCCUUAGAGGUACAGUGUAUAUGAACCAGGCUGUUGAAAUACUGGCUCAGAUUCUGACAUAAGCUUUUCAGAAUGUAUAAAUGUUUCCUUCUUACCCUUCAGUGACCAAACUGAAUCUCAGAAUGAAAGGAACAGGUGAGUUUUUAGUAGAUUUUUUUCAUAAUCAAGAGUGUAAUCCUGUCCAAUAUCAAAUGCAAUCUGUAUUCUAUUAAUUGAUCACAGAAUAAAUACUGUGACUGAUCUUUCUUUAAACACUUCACACUACUUAAAUUUUACCUGCACUGAAACCCUUUCAUACCUCUGUCACAUUUUUAUUUCUGUAGAUUGCCUUGAAAAAGGAAAUCUUAAAUCUAAGAGUAACUCUUCCAGCCAGUGAGUUUAAAAAUGCAAGCACAAUAAACCCAGUAGGAUUUGGGUGUCUUUUGAUGGUGCUGCUGUGGAUUUCUGAAAAGCCAUGUUUCAUCAUGCAGUGUGUUCUAAAUCAGACCCUGCCAUGUUCUCUGCUUGGUGCCUGACCCUGCUGUGUCCCUGGAGGAACAGCCUUGCUCAGGCAGUGGCCUUUCCCUUUUAGUGCUUGCCCUGCUGAGAGCCUGGGCUUUCCAGUUUUCCUCAGUGAGACCAAGGUAGAGCCAUUUGAGUGGUGGCAAUUGGGCUUGGACUGACUCAGGCCUUGGUGCUGUGCUUUCUCCAAACUAUGUUUUGAGAAAUGAGUUGCUGCCAGGAAAUAGAGACAGCAUUUUGGGUAGCUGCAAAAGAUGAAAUACAACUCAAGAAGCAAUUCUCCUCCUCUGCUCUUUUAUCUACUUUUGCUGAUUCCUCAAUAUGGUUGGUUUUGGAAUACAUCCUUGUCAAUGUUUUGUAGAUGCUUCUUUGUUUUUCAUUUGCUUCCUUAAGUUAUAAGGAACUUGAGCUUUAAGUUUGAUCACAGCAUCAGGAGUAUGUUCUGUGAUACAAACCCACCUUGAACAGCUGCUCUUCAGUAUGGAUGGUGUUGUCUAUCCUUUAAAGAUGUGUGAAACCUCAGUGAACAUUGGUUUGAAGGUGCUGUGGGUGAGUGGUUCUGGUUGUGUAACAUCUCACCUGAUCAAAGCACGGAAUUCUCUCUGUGGAACUGGGUAGAGGAAGGAUGGUGCUCCUGGGUCCAGCAGUUUUCAUCCUGGUAGGAUGUAACUAUCCACUCAAGGUAGGUAGAGCUAACACCUUUUUGUGAAGAUUUCCAGAAACUCAGGGUUUCACGUGGAAAAGCAGCAUCAGUAGUACUGCUGGCACCUGGGAGGUAUGUAUGUGUCUGUGGGGAGGGAACUUCAUCUGUGCAGUGUUUAAAUAAAAGUGUUUGAGUUAAUGAAAGUCCUUAAGCUGUGGAAAACUCUGGAAUCACAUGAACUGCCUGGGUGUGCAGGUAAUGCCGCUCUGGCUGUGGCUACUGGGAGUGCUGGGGGUUCUUGGGGGGUUCUUCAGUCUGAUACCUGUGUGGUCUCCUGGGCUGGGACAAAAUGAAGGAGCAGAGUUGGGAUAUUACCAAACGUGCACCUUGGAGCUGUGUGCAGUACAGUGUUCCCUCCUGCACAGUGAGAAUGGGUGUGCAUCUCUCCAAAGAGGGCUGUCAGUGUGUUAAACUUCCAUCAGGAGCUGUGGUUUGUUUGGCUCCCUGCUGGAACGGUGGUAGAUGAAGAACAAAAUGCCCUUCAACUUCACAUCGCUUCUGUGCUCCCAUUUGUCAAGGCUUUCAGUCUAAUUAGACUGGGGGCAAUCAGCCUUUUGUCAGGAAAUAAUCACAAGAUGUCAAAAUCUAAUAAAAAUUGAUUGAAACA